rnacentral:rRNA from 1 species
CCUACGGGAGGCAGCAGUGAGGAAUAUUGGUCAAUGGCCGAAAGGCUGAACCAGCCAAGUCGCGUGAGGGAUGACGGUCCUAUGGAUUGUAAACCUCUUUUGUCAGGGAGCAAAGGGCGCCACGUGUGGCGCUUUGCGAGUACCUGAAGAAAAAGCAUCGGCUAACUCCGUGCCAGCAGCCGCGGUAAUACGGAGGAUGCGAGCGUUAUCCGGAUUUAUUGGGUUUAAAGGGUGCGCAGGCGGAAUGUCAAGUCAGCGGUAAAAUUUCGGGGCUCAACCCCGUCGUGCCGUUGAAACUGGCGUUCUUGAGUGAGCGAGAAGUAUGCGGAAUGCGUGGUGUAGCGGUGAAAUGCAUAGAUAUCACGCAGAACUCCGAUUGCGAAGGCAGCAUACCGGCGCUCAACUGACGCUCAUGCACGAAAGCGUGGGUAUCGAACAGGAUUAGAUACCCCAGUAGUC